rnacentral:rRNA from 1 species
UACGGGGGGGGCAAGCGUUGUUCGGAAUUACUGGGCGUAAAGGGCUCGUAGGUGGCCAACUAAGUCGGACGUGAGAUCCCUCGGCUUAACCGGGGAACUGCGUCCGAUACUGGUUGGCUUGAGUUUGGGAGAGGGAUGCGGAAUUCCAGGUGUAGCGGUGAAAUGCGUAGAUAUCUGGAGGAACACCGGUGGCGAAGGCGGCAUCCUGGACCAAUACUGACGCUGAGGAGCGAAAGCCAGGGGAGCAAACGGG